CAAAAAUGUAAAAAGCUACUGCCUGUGGGCUAUCAUUUGCUUUGGAACAGGUUUCCCAAAGAAAUACAGCAGGCUCGAGGAAUGGACAAAGCUCUCAGAAACCUGAUCUGAUUUCGUGGUUGACCCUCAUCUCAGUAGAUCAGACUACAGAACUCAUGAGCUUCUCACCUCUGGGAGGAGUCACCUGGAAGAGUCUCCAGCUAUGGCUGUACUGAUGAUGACUGAAGCUCUGCCCAUCCCAGGAUACAGGUGUGCUGGGGUCAAGACACAUUAAGAUCACACACUGAGCUGCAGCAGUUCAGCUUUCUGGUCCCUUUGCUUCUUUGAUAAUGACAAGAUGGAAAAUACACGGGCUGGAGAGACUACCUAAAUAAAAGCAGUUGACGAAGGGGGAAGAAAAUAACA
rnacentral:lncRNA from 1 species